rnacentral:lncRNA from 1 species
AGUUGCAAGAAACAAGACCAUUAGGCCAUGUCCUCAGGUGUGAUGCUCCCUAUCUUCUAGAAAUUUGCAACUUAAAGCUGUGUCUACAUGCUUCCAUAAAUCUAGGAUGAAGGAGAAAAGGAGUAGAAAGAAAUGUGAUGUCAA